rnacentral:rRNA from 1 species
GUGUUUUGUGGAUGCCUUGGCUCCAAAGCAAUUGGGCGUAGUCAAACAUGCGAAAUGUGUCUAAUGAGAACCAUAUUACUGUUUUGUGUUACGCAAUAUGACGUCGCUUCCUCACCGGACGGAGAAAAACCGUCACCUCUUCUGGAAAGACCCGGAAAAGUGGUUGAUAGUCUUGCAGUACGGUUCUGAAAUAAGAACAAUUCCCACAGUGGGAAACCACAAAAGUGAUUUACACGUGACGAACUGAAACAUCUCAUUAGUUACAGGAAAAGAAAUCAACCGAGAUGCCGUAAGUAUUGGCGAAAGAAAGCGGCAAUGGCACGAUACACACUAAAACAAGAAGCUGUUUAGAGAAAGCACCAAAGAAGGUACGAGUCCUGUAUUAAAUGUGAGUGUGUAUUGACAAGUAGAACGUUCACUGUUUGAACACGGGAGAACCACCUUCUAAGCCAAAUUAUGCUUUGGAGAUCGAUAGCGAACAAGUACUGUGAAGGAAAGGUGAAAAGAACCUGAUAAAAAGGGAGUGAAAAGAUCUGAAUCAAAACACUGACAAGCAAUCGAAGCCUCUGAGUUCGCAACCCCAGCGGCUCAUAUACGGGUGACGGUGUACCUUUUGCAUAAUGGGUCAGCGACUAAAUGAAACAAGCAAGCUUAAGCACUGAUGUGGAAGCAAAGCAAAAGCAAGUAAACAAUCUGCGUACGGAGGCCCACUCGUGCACUACGGACGCGGGGACCAAAGAUCGAAAUGACUUUGAUGAAGAGGGUGUACCACUGUUUGGUUCAUUUGACCCGAAACUAAGUGAUCUCGCCUUGAGCAGGUUGAAGGAAGCGUAAUUUCUUUUGGAGGACCGAACCGACGUCUGUAGCAAUAGACGCGGAUGAGUUGAGGCGAGGGGUGAAAGGCCAAUCAAACUUAGAUAUAGCUGGUUCUUCGCGAAAUGUAUUGAGGUACAGCGUACAAUGAAGCAUGAUGGGGGUAGAGCACUUGUUGAGCUAUGGGGGUCCAAAACCUUACUGCUCUCACGAAAACUCCGAAGACCAUACAUUUGCUUUCAUGUGCAGACAGACUUUCAGUGCUAAGGUUGAAAGUCGAAAGGGAAACAGCCCAGCCUGGCCGCUAAGGUCCCAAAGCUUUCUGUGAGUGGGAAAAGAUGUGAGACAACGGUUACAACUAGGAGGUUGGCUUGGAAGCAGCCAUUCUAUCAUGAAAGCGUAAUAGCUCACUAGUCGAGUUGUUUUGCGCUGAAAAUGUAUCGGGGCUGAACAGAAACGCCGACGC